rnacentral:lncRNA from 1 species
GUGGGGUUUCUGGGGAGGGGGUUUCUGGUCAAUAACAGGACAUUGCGUGAGCCAUGUUAAGUGGUUGACUCAAUAGCUGUCGCCUGUUUUGCAGCGGUUUUGAAGCUUGGACUAUUUGGAUUGGGGGGGUUUUGUGGGGUUGUCCUUCUCGGAUAACUAAAAAUGAAUGAGAUACUGCUCCGGCAUAUCUUCACAUGCGC